UACGUAGGGUGCAAGCGUUGCCCGGAAUUAUUGGGCGUAAAGAGCUCGUAGGCGGUCUGUCGCGUCUGCUGUGAAAACUCGGGGCUUAACCCCGGGCCUGCAGUGGGUACGGGCAGACUAGAGUGCGGUAGGGGAGACUGGAAUUCCUGGUGUAGCGGUGGAAUGCGCAGAUAUCAGGAGGAACACCAAUGGCGAAGGCAGAUCUCUGGGCCGUAACUGACGCUGAGGAGCGAAAGCAUGGGGAGCGAACAGG
rnacentral:rRNA from 1 species